rnacentral:rRNA from 1 species
GAUGAACGCUGGCGGCGUGCCUAAUACAUGCAAGUCGAGCGAACAGAUGAGGAGCUUGCUCCUCUGACGUUAGCGGCGGACGGGUGAGUAACACGUGGAUAACCUACCUAUAAGACUGGGAUAACUUCGGGAAACCGGAGCUAAUACCGGAUAAUAUAUUGAACCGCAUGGUUCAAUAGUGAAAUACGGUUUUGCUGUCACUUAUAGAUGGAUCCGCGCCGCAUUAGCUAGUUGGUAAGGUAACGGCUUACCAAGGCAACGAUGCGUAGCCGACCUGAGAGGGUGAACGACCACACUGGAACUGAGACACAGUCCAGACUCCUACGGGAGGCAGCAGUAGAGAAUCUUCCGCAAUGGGCGAAAGCCUGACGGAGCAACGCCGCGUGAGUGAUGAAGGUCUUCGGAUCGUAAAACUCUGUUAUUAGGGAAAAACAAAUGUGUAAGUAACUAUGCACGUCUUGACGGUACCUAAUCAGAAAGCCACGGCUAACUACGUG